AAAGGGCGCGUAGGCGGUCUUUUAAGUCGGGGGUGAAAGCCUGUGGCUCAACCACAGAAUUGCCUUCGAUACUGGGAGACUUGAGUUCGGUAGAGGUUGGUGGAACUGCGAGUGUAGAGGUGAAAUUCGUAGAUAUUCGCAAGAACACCGGUGGCGAAGGCGGCCAACUGGACCGACACUGACGCUGAGGCGCGAAAGCGUGGGGAGCAAACAGGAUUAGAUACCCUUGU
rnacentral:rRNA from 1 species